CCCUCAGUAAAAAAAGUAGAUAAAACUAGAGAAGCUGUGAAAGUCCACACUGCAUAAGAAUUCAAGGGAUGCACUUGAAGGAAGAAAUACUGCCGGGAGAAGACCCUUAGGUACCAUCACAGGAGGCAGUGGAGCACAUCACACCGGGGGUGCUGUGUCACACAGGACCUGUACCUGCACAGAACUUCAAUUUUAGCUUCCAGUUUUCCCCGAUCUUGAGCAAGAUGAGCUCCUAGAUGAAACAGGAUAUUCAUACUACAGUGCUCAUUUUACAGAUGACUUCAAGAUGUAGAAUGUUGGGAAAUGGGGUGGAGGUGAAGGAAAUAGAUAAGCUGUAUUCGCAACCAACUCCCACAACUGCUGUUACAGAUCCCAUGUGCCACAGAACAUCUGUUUUUGCACACCAACUCUACAACUAGAUAAGAGCCAGAAACCUUGUCAUGAUUACCACUCUACUGGAGUGUUUAUUUGAGAGGUCCACUGGUUCACCAGAAAUACCUCUUCCAUCUAGAGCUGUUAGCUGGGGCAACGACUGAAGAACAGUUUCUCUAUAACCUUGAGGAAAAGACCACAUGUAAAUUGAAAUCAAUCUCCCAAGAUGUCUAGUGUAUUUCAGCUACCCUGUCAUCUUAAAUGAUUCA